AUGUUCCCAGGGGGAUUAUGGCUGCCUCUUCUGUGUCAUACAGGCUGCCAGGGAAGUAGGGGAAAGCCAGCAGUGACAGACCCUACCCAGCUGCCACACAGCCAGCAAGGCCAGUUUCACUCCUGCCAUGCCCCACCAUGGUUCCCCAGCGGGGAUGUAUGUUCAGAAGCCGACUUUUCCCCCUCUCACACUUUGGGAACUCACAGUUUUUUGGCUGUCUUGUGGAGUUUACAGCAGCAAGCCACUUCUUUCAAAGGGUGUGGUGGACACAGGCCUAUUCAUCAACAUGGCUGA
rnacentral:lncRNA from 1 species